CUUGAUCACAACAGAAACCACAAUAAAAGAAAGUGACUGAAUCCUUCCGAUUCCGUCUCUAGCGUAGUUCCAAUGAUAUGGGCUCUGGAAGUAGAGCAUCGGCUCCAAAAGUCGUUUGCCUAACAAGAGCCUCCGCGGAGCAAGGGCCGAGUCUCCUCCACCAGCUGACCUCUUGGGGGAAGCUAUCGGUAUCUGGCUGAGACAUCCUCACAUAGGAAGCUGCACCACGAGCUGAGGUACAGGAAGCUACAUGCAGAUAUGGAGGU